rnacentral:rRNA from 1 species
CGGGGUACACGAGCGGCGAACGGGUGAGUAACACGUGAGCAACCUGCCCCCGACUCCGGGAUAAGCGGUGGAAACGCCGUCUAAUACCGGAUACGACACACCGCCUCAUGGCGGUGUGUGGAAAGUUUUUCGGUCGGGGAUGGGCUCGCGGCCUAUCAGCUUGUUGGUGGGGUAACGGCCUACCAAGGCGAUUACGGGUAGCCGGCCUGAGAGGGCGACCGGCCACACUGGGACUGAGACACGGCCCAGACUCCUGCGGGAGGCAGCAGUGGGGAAUAUUGCGCAAUGGGCGAAAGCCUGACGCAGCGACGCCGCGUGGGGGAUGACGGCCUUCGGGUUGUAAACCUCUUUUACCACCAACGCAGGCUCCCAGUUCUCUGGGGGUUGACGGUAGGUGGGGAAUAAGGACCGGCUAACUACGUGCCAGCAGCCGCGGUAAUACGUAGGGUCCGAGCGUUGUCCGGAAUUAUUGGGCGUAAAGAGCUCGUAGGCGGCGUGUCGCGUCUGCUGUGAAAGACCGGGGCUUAACUCCGGUUCUGCAGUGGAUACGGGCAUGCUAGAGGUAGGUAGGGGAGACUGGAAUUCCUGGUGUAGCGGUGAAAUGCGC